rnacentral:tRNA from 1 species
GCCCUUGUAGCUCAAUCGGAUAGAGUGCUUCCCUUCUAAGGAAGAAGUUGCAGGUUCGAGUCCUGUCAGGGGCA